GACGAACGCUGGCGGCGUGCUUAACACAUGCAAGUCGAACGGAAAGGCCCUGCUUUUGUGGGGUGCUCGAGUGGCGAACGGGUGAGUAACACGUGAGUAACCUGCCCUUGACUUUGGGAUAACUUCAGGAAACUGGGGCUAAUACCGGAUAGGAGCUCCUGCUGCAUGGUGGGGGUUGGAAAGUUUCGGCGGUUGGGGAUGGACUCGCGGCUUAUCACCUUGUUGGUGGGGUAGUGGCUUACCAAGGCUUUGACGGGUAGCCGGCCUGGGAGGGUGACCGGCCCCAUGGGACCCGGGAUGCGGCCCAAACGCCUCGGGGGGGAAGAAGGGGGAAUAUUGCACAAUGGGCGGAAGCCUGAUGCAGCAACGCCGCGUGCGGGAUGACGGCCUUCGGGUUGUAAACCGCUUUCGCCUGUGACGAAGCGUGAGUGACGGUAAUGGGUAAAGAAGCACCGGCUAACUACGUG
rnacentral:rRNA from 1 species